rnacentral:rRNA from 1 species
UGGGGAAUAUUGCGCAAUGGGGGAAACCCUGACGCAGCAACGCCGCGUGAAGGAAGAAGGUUCUCGGAUUGUAAACUUCUUUUACUCGGGACGAACAAAAUGACGGUACCGAGUGAAUAAGCAACGGCUAACUACGUGCCAGCAGCCGCGGUAAUACGUAGGUGGCAAGCGUUGUCCGGAUUUACUGGGUGUAAAGGGCGCGUAGGCGGGACUGCAAGUCAGUAGUGAAAUACCACGGCUUAACCGUGGCACGGCUAUUGAAACUGGG